CUUCAAGGUUCCUGGGUGUCACGCAGAUCUCGGUGGAACCUCCAAAUGAAAGACCUCAGUGGGGAGACCUCCACUCAAGUCCUGAGAUGGCGCACACACCCAAGGAAUCACGAGAGACCAU
rnacentral:pre_miRNA from 7 species